rnacentral:rRNA from 1 species
UACGGGGGGAGCAAGCGUUGUUCGGAUUUACUGGGCGUAAAGGGCGCGUAGGCGGCCACCGCAAGUCGACUGUGAAAUCUCCGGGGUUAACCCGGAAAGGUCAGCCGAUACUGCGGGGCUAGAGUGCAGAAGGGGCAGCUGGAAUUCUCGGUGUAGCGGUGAAAUGCGUAGAUAUCGAGAGGAACACCUGCGGCGAAGGCGGGUUGCUGGGCUGACACUGACGCUGAUGCGCGAAAGCUAGGGGAGCGAACGGG